rnacentral:piRNA from 1 species
UGGUGAAAGGUGUUCAAUGACCCUUACCUG